GGCAAAGUUAAUAAGGGCGCACGGUGGAUGCCUUGGCACUAAGAGCCGAUGAAGGACGUGACUAACGACGAUAUUCUAGGGGGAGCAGUAAGUACGCAUUGAUCCCUAGGUCUCCGAAUGGGGAAACCCAGCUGCUACUAGCAGUUAUUCAUGAGUGAAUACAUAGCUCAUGUAAAGGUAACGCAGAGAACUGAAACAUCUAAGUA
rnacentral:rRNA from 1 species